rnacentral:rRNA from 1 species
CCCUUAGAUGUCCUGGGCUGCACGCGCGCUACACUGAUGUGUCCAGUAAGCACCUAACCUCUUCCGAAAGGAACGGGUAACCUUUGCAAAGCACAUCGUGAUGGGGAUAGAUUAUCGCAAUUAUUAGUCUUGAACGAGGAAUUCCUAGUAAGCACAAGUCAUCAGCUUGUGUUGAUUACGUCCCUGCCCUUUGUACACACCGCCCGUCGCUCCUACCGAUUGAAUGUUCCGGUGAGCUCUUCGGACUGCGCGGUCUGCAGUUUCUGCGUUCCGUGCGGAAAGUUGCGCAAACCUUAACAUUUAGAGGAAGGAGAAGUCGUAACA